UAGUUUUCCCUCUUCUUCUUCUCUACCCAAAAUUUUCGUUUUCCCACUAACCUCUUAUCUUAUCUCUGCCUCUCUCCCCUGAUCUCUCUUUAUUCUCUACUUGUCUUCUUUUGUUACUUGAAUGGAAGUUUUCAUUACACCUUCUUAGUUAUCAGAGCUUCAAUUUGAAGCUUUAAUUAUUGGCUUUCCAAUCCACUUUCUCUAUCUAAACCCUAUUCGUUUUUAGGGUUUUUUAGAGACCGCUCAUUCUUCUUCAACCCCGUUUAUACCCCUCUCUUUUACUCACAGAUCCGUGUAUCUAUCUCAUCAUAUGGGUGAAAGUAGCUUCACCUGUUGCUGCUACUAUGCCAUUGAAGAAAGAUUAUUCAAGGAGCAAGUGAAGCACAGCUCAGCCUGGUAUAGAUGCCAACAAAAAAAAAUGCAAUAUUAACAUGCUAAAUGAAAUACACCGAAAGGUUACAGAGUUUUUUUACAGUACGUAUAUCUUGUCUAAUUUUAUCAACUUUAUAAUCAUUAAGAUUUGCUCUUCAUGCUACAUUUAGAAGGUUACAGAGUUUUUUACAGAGUUGAUUAUUUUCUUUGUUGUAACUAUA